rnacentral:rRNA from 1 species
GAUGAACGCUGGCGGCGUGCCUAAUACAUGCAAGUCGAGCGAACAGAUGAGGAGCUUGCUCCUCUGACGUUAGCGGCGGACGGGUGAGUAACACGUGGAUAACCUACCUAUAAGACUGGGAUAACUUCGGGAAACCGGAGCUAAUACCGGAUAAUAUAUUGAACCGCAUGGUUCAAUAGUGAAAGACGGUUUUGCUGUCACUUAUAGAUGGAUCCGCGCCGCAUUAGCUAGUUGGUAAGGUAACGGCUUACCAAGGCAACGAUGGGUAGCCGACCUGAGAGGGGGACAGGCAACAGGGGGAAUGAGAAAAGGCCCAGAAGGGUACGGGAGGCAGUAGGUGGGAAUAUGGCAUAAGGGGAGGAAGACUGAGGCAGCAACGAAGAGUGCGGGAUGACGGGCUUCGGGUUGUAAACAGAUUUCGCCGGUGAAGAAGCGGGAGUGACGGUAAUGGGUAAAGAAGCAACGGCUAACUAAGUG